GAUGAACGCUGGCGGCGUGCCUAAUACAUGCAAGUCGAGCGAAUGGAUUAAGAGCUUGCUCUUAUGAAGUUAGCGGCGGACGGGUGAGUAACACGUGGGUAACCUGCCCAUAAGACUGGGAUAGCUCCGGGAAACCGGGGCUAAUACCGGAUAACAUUUUGAACCGCAUGGUUCGAAAUUGAAAGGCGGCUUCGGCUGUCACUUAUGGAUGGACCCGCGUCGCAUUAGCUAGUUGGUGAGGUAACGGCUCACCAAGGCAAUGAUGCGUAGCCGACCUGAGAGGGUGAUCGGCCACACUGGGACUGAGACACGGCCCAGACUCCUACGGGAGGCAGCAGUAGGGAAUCUUCCGCAAUGGACGAAAGUCUGACGGAGCAACGCCGCGUGAGUGAUGAAGGCUUUCGGGUCGUAAAACUCUGUUGUUAGGGAAGAACAAGUGCUAGUUGAAUAAGCUGGCACCUUGACGGUGCCUAACCAGAAAGCCACGGCUAACUACGUGCCAGCCGCCGCUGUAA
rnacentral:rRNA from 1 species